UCCGCUUCCCACACAACUUCAACAUUUUUCUUCUCUUCUCAUCCUAUUUCUAUGUUUCUCUCAGUUUGAUCAUCAGUGAAAACCACAAGCACUGUGAUGAAGUCUUUUGGUUAUCAACUGCAUAUGGAAGGGAUCAUGGAGCAAAAUAGAAAGCCUUAGCCUCUUAGCAAGCUUGGUGACCUCCUUAGUAAAGACUGGUAUCUCAUGAGGAAGAACCAUGGAUGUGUUGUAGUAGAAGAAGAAGAAGAAAACUACGGCAGGUGGAAAGCCCAAAUAUGUUCAGAAUUUCAGAAUCCGAUAAACCGUACUAAAUCUGGUUAGGUUCUUCACGAAUGUAAUGUACACGUAACUGCUGUGGAUAACGUCCAGUUAAGUAUUUUGUGUAAACCAAGUGUAAGACUGUAAGUUAUUAGUUGUGUGUAAAUACACACAUAAGUAUUGUACACCCACGUCUAUGCUAACGGUUAGUAACGGUGUUACUAACAGGCUGUUAAAAACAGAGUGUAAACUCAGUGUUAUUUAAUUUUUAUUGA